UUUAAGCCUGUCGUUAACCAGCUCUCCCUUAUAAACCCUAGUGAUUGUGCAAACAAAACAGAAGACCGCAGGAACUAUUGCUCAGUCAACACAUGCUUGAUUCAGUGCCCAGAUCAACACGUGUCUCCACUGUUUGGCCACAUAACUCUAACCCAAAACCAUAAGAUGAUAGUGAUACUAUAGUACUAUUACAUACACCACAGGAGUGAAUGAUAACCAUAUUCAUCUAUCAUGGCAACUACAGUAAAGCACUACAAAGAGUACUAUGGUAAUAUCAUUGUACUAAAAUAUGUGGUGUAUAAAGCCUCAUCACAGUAAACAGAGUCUACACUGUGCAGUAUUACUCACACUUAUAUAAGACAUGCAUGGUACAUCUGGAUUGGUCAAGCAGCUUGGUCAUUUGCAUGGACCACACCCUGUAGACUUUUUAAGUCGUGGAGUGUCUGUUCUUUUCAUACCAAACAACUGGAUUGAAAGUGUACAGGCAGCUGCGAUCGCUCUGUAUCAACUCAUAACUUUUACAGGAAGCCACAGGACAUCGCAAAGCCUAAACAAUGGCAACUUGGUCAAACGUAGACAGGGAAGUGAAUGAAGAGUGGUGGGAGAAAGCAUACAAGUUGUUUCUUGAAAGUGAACCAAUAGAAACGAUUCUCGAGCAUUCUGCCUAUUAUAUGACAGGAAAUAACUGGAAUGAUUAUGGAUUCAGCUGUGACACACAUGUUCCUCUUACUGGGACAGUCCAUGAGGUUACUAAAAGAGCAAUUUUGGUGGUGAUUUCAAGAAGAAGGAGAAUGGAUUGGAAUAAUUGGAAGAGCAUACAUGAGCCAUCUUCUAAAUCUGAUGUACAGGAUCUGAACGAAAAUCACAAGAAAUUAAUAAACUGUGUUACUGACCUGAUCUAUAAAGAGGACGGCAGCCCAAGACCAUUUAAUAAAUAGGCUGAACACUACUGAUUGAUAGUGUGAGUCUGAAAUAAAUGUUAUUUGCAUCACUAAAAUGCUUUGUCUCUGUUGCAUGUGCUCUGUUAAAUUUACUUGUCUUUUACAAACAAUUUUCCUUUUAUUUUGAUUUAUAUUAUAUCCAUCAGUUAAUCAUUUUUAAUCAUUCAAUUUUACUUUAUUUUACCAUACUAUAUUUAAUAGUUUUUUGACCAUUUAAUCAAUUUACUUCAUUAAAAUCAUCAGUGCUCAAAGUGUGUUGGUCUGCAGUAUAGACCAUUUAAUAGAUAGGCUGAGCAAUAUUGAUUGAUAAUGUCAGUCUAAACAUUCAUUUUGCACCACUAUCAUGGUAUGUAGGGUUACUCUGUUGCAUGUUAAAAUUUUAUUUAGUUGGCAUAUUUACGUAGCUUUUACAUACAGUAUAUUUGGCUUUCAUGUUGUUAUAUGGUAAUUGCUGUAUACUAUGGUACUUUAAACUAUACCAAAGUACUGAAUGGUAGCAAUAUCUAUCAACUACAGUACCACGGUAAUACCCAAAAGGUUUAUUCAUAAACCCCGGGUUAAUGUUAAUGUUUCUGGUGUCAGUAUCAUCAAUUGAGUGAAUCUGUGCAAUCACACAUGAUCUGUUUAAAUAUUGUCUUGUCUUGCACUUGUGGAUUAGCUGGGCUUCUAUAUUUCUGAUGGUAAUUACAUCCAAUUUGCCUCGAAUAGACAUUUAGACCAUAACUGUACAAAUAAAAAGGUUUCUUCAUCAGUCCAA